rnacentral:rRNA from 1 species
UACGUAGGGGGCAAGCGUUGUCCGGAAUCAUUGGGCGUAAAGAGCGUGUAGGCGGUCCGUUAAGUCGGCUGUGAAAGUCCAAGGCUCAACCUUGGGAUGCCGGUCGAUACUGCCGGACUAGAGUGGAGCAGAGGAUAGUGGAAUUCCCGGUGUAGUGGUGAAAUGCGUAGAUAUCGGGAGGAACACCAGUGGCGAAGGCGACUAUCUGGGCUUUAACUGACGCUGAGGCGCGAAGGCCGGGGGAGCAAACAGG